GCCAGAGGGGUCCUGAGGGAGCCUGGGCUAGCAGAGUCAACAAGAUAAAGAAUGAACAGUCUUGGUUGUAGGAGAAACGUAUCUGACACUAAGCAACAGUGCUCUGCAAUCCUGCCUGUGCCAGACUAAUGGCAGAGGCAUUCUGGUGGACUCCAGGUGUAGAUGUAAUUGAGGGUGUUUCAGUACAAGGGAACAGAAGAUUGUGGGGCAAAGAGGAGAAUUCACUACUGCCACAAAGCUGUCCAUUGUUUCCAUUCAUACUGUAUCUGCUGCUAAGAUGAUAUGACUAUUGAAUGAGACAUAGACUACAUAGUGAUUGAGAGAGUGUUAAAUCUUCAGAAAUGGCAGUGCAUGUGGUUAGAUACUGAUAUGGAAUAAAUAAAGAAAUAGCAAGAGGUGGACAACAUAUAAAUGUAUAAGGAAAAGCAACUUAAAUAACUUAGCCAGAUGGUAAAUACAUAAAUCAGAGGACCUUUGGUUUUAAUAUUAAAAUUCAAGAAGUGACAGUGUUAUAUUAAUAAAAACACUGUAUUAAUAAAAUAUGACUUCUAGAGUAAACAGUAUACUAUAUUCACACGGAAACAUAUUUCUUUUAUACAACACAUUAUUUUGCUGAUGCAAGAAUAUGUUGCAAGAAUAAGUUAGUACUUUUAAAACAAAACAAAACAGCAAAAUAAUGGAGUAUAUUAUGUUAACAUACAGUAACUAAUGUAAAAAAAAUA